CAGUGAGUGGAUCAGAUACAGCAGUGAUUAGCAGUGAUUAGCAUGGUGGUGGUGUAUGAGGUGUUAGUGAGUGUUGAGCUGAAACAGUGAGUGGAUCAGAUACAGCAGUGAUUAGCAGUGAUUAGCAUGGUGGUGGUGUAUGAGGUGUUAGUGAGUGUUGAGCUGAAACAGUGAGUGGAUCAGAUACAGCAGUGAUUAGCAGUGAUUAGCAUGGUGGUGGUGUAUGAGGUGUUAGUGAGUGUUGAGCUGGUGGUACAGUGAGUGGAUCAGAUACAGCAGUGAUUAGCAGUGAUUAGCAUGGUGGCGGUGUAUGAGGUGUUAGUGAGUGUUGAGCUGGUGGUACAGAGAGUGGAUCAGAUACAGCAGUGAUUAGCAUGGUGGUGGUGUAUGAGGUGUUAGUGUGUGUUGAGCUGGUACAGUGAGUGGAUCAGAUACAGCAGUGAUUAGCAGUGAUUAGCAUGGUGGUGGUGUAUGAGGUGUUAGUGUGUGGUUGAGCUGGUACAGUGAGUGGAUCAGAUACAGCAGUGAUUAGCAGUGAUUAGCAUGGUGGUGGUGUAUGAGGUGUUAGUGAGUGUUGAGCUGGUGGUACAGUGAGUGGAUCAGAUACAGCAGUGAUUAGCAGUUAUUAGCAUGGUGGUGGUGUAUGAGGUGUUAGUGAGUGUUGAGCUGAAACAGUGAGUGGAUCAGAUACAGCUGUGAUUAGCAGUGAUUAGCAUGGUGGUGGUGUAUGGGGUGUUAGUGAGUGUUGAGCUGGUACAGUGAGUGGAUCAGAUACAGCAGUGAUUAGCAUGGUGGUGGUGUAUGAGGUGUUAGUGAGUGUUGAGCUGGUGGUACAGUGAGUGGAUCAGAUACAGCAGUGAUUAGCAUGGUGGUGGUGUAUGAGGUGUUAGUGAGUGUUGAGCUGGUGGUACAGUGAGUGGAUCAGAUACAGCAGUGAUUAGCAUGGUGGUGGUGUAUGAGGUGUUGGUGUGUGUUGAGCUGGUGGUACAGUGAGUGGAUCAGAUACAGCAGUGAUUAGCAUGGUGGUGGUGUAUGAGGUGUUAGUGAGUGUUGAGCUGGUGGUACAGUGAGUGGAUCAGA